UUAGACAUCCACCAAACUCUCAAAGAGAAUAAACUACAUCUGCUCUUCAACCACCGCUCCUAAGGAUCGAGCCACUGGAAAUCCUUCCAAAAGGGGAAUCACAAUUGCAAAUAUAAAUAUAGGAGAUAUUUAUCCACCUUCAACAUCAUCAACCCUCUUCUUUUUUCCCCCCUUCUCUCUCUCUCUCCCUGUCCUUUGCCAGCUACCUGAUCCUUGAUUAAAAAUGGAACAGGGUUAAUAAUAAUACGGGGGGAAAAAAAAGACGAUCGGAAUGGAGGAGAGGAAAUGCAACUGUCAGAUAGAGGGAUAGUCAGACUUCCUGGGUGACCCUGGCGGGGUCUGGCUCAAUGUAAAUCCACCAUCUUCAGCCUGGCAAGUUGUCUUUGGGUUGAGAGGCUUUUUUUUUGUGGUGGUGGUGGUGGUGGGGAGGGCGGGAGGGGGGUGUUAUGUUUGCGAUGUAUGCCUUGGUACCUAAGGUGGAAGAAGAGGAGGAGGAGGAGGAGAACAGGAGGAGGAGGAGGAGGGUGUGUGUUAUUGAAUGGGAGCGAAAAAGCCUCCUCGGGACGGCGCGGAGGCUGAACCCGGCUUGCUGAGCCUCCUCUCUCGGCUGGGCCCAAUGCCCCGAGCAGCCGAUGAGACGGAGACCCCCCUCCCCCUCCGGCUGGCAGUUACCACAAGCAAGCAUGCUCAGAAGAAGAUGUUAUCAAGUGUGUGGACUGGCUGAUGAUAGCUCUGAGGUGAUGGGGCUUAGUAUUGUUUGGCUAUUAUCCAUGCUCAGCCUUUUGGCCUUAUGUGCCACUGCCAGUACUGCUUCAAGCAUGCAGAAGAGAACAAGCCAGGCAACAUGCAAGAAGAUGUGACUGAAGCACUAAGAGAGAACUGAUCUGAGACAGCAUGAAGUGUCAUUCUCUGGAACUAAAGAAAACACGUGCCUUUACCUUUGGAUUCAGCAUGUUGGCAAACUGUAUAACUGCUUAGCUGACUGGCUGGCUUUGAUUCUCAGGUUUGUUU